rnacentral:misc_RNA from 1 species
AAGUCGUAACAAGGUUUCCGUAGGUGAACCUGCGGAAGGAUCAUUAUAAAAAUUUACAUUUUAAUAUGUAAAAAAAAAAUGUAUUCAAAACCCAAUUCUUUAAAUCAUAUAAAAUAUAUAUUUUUAUAUAUAUAAAAAAAAUAAAUAAUAAAAUAAUAACAACUUUCAACAACGGAUCUCUUGGCUCUC